rnacentral:rRNA from 1 species
UCCUACGGGAGGCAGCAGUGGGGAAUAUUGCACAAUGGGCGAAAGCCUGAUCCAGCCACGCCGCGUGAGUGAUGACGGCCUUCGGGUUGUAAAGCUCUGUCUUUGGGGACGAUAAUGACGGUACCCGAGGAGGAAGCCACGGCUAACUACGUGCCAGCAGCCGCGGUAAUUA